GUGCUCACUUUGGCAGCACAUACACUAAAAUUGGAAGGAUACAGAGAUUAGCAUGGCCCCUGCACAAGGAUGACAUGCAAAUUCGAGAAGCAUUCCUUAUUUUU
ensembl:snRNA U6 U6 spliceosomal RNA